UACGUAGGGUGCGAGCGUUAAUCGGAAUUACUGGGCGUAAAGCGCGCGUAGGCGGCUUUGCAAGUCGGGUGUGAAAUCCCCAGGCUUAACCUGGGAACUGCAUUCGAGACUGCAUUGCUAGAGUAUGGGAGAGGGAAGUGGAAUUUCCGGUGUAGCGGUGAAAUUCGUAGAUAUUCGCAAGAACACCAGUGGCGAAGGCGGCUCACUGGCCCGGUACUGACGCUGAGGUGCGAAAGCGUGGGGAGCAAACAGG
rnacentral:rRNA from 1 species